rnacentral:misc_RNA from 1 species
UCUCCGUUGGUGAACCAGCGGAGGGAUCAUUACCGAAGUUACCUUCAAAACCCACUGUGAACCUUACCUCUUGCCGCGUUGUCUCGGAGGGAGGCGGUGUGCGUCGCGCGCCCUAGCGGGCCGCGCCGCUCCCGUCCCCGCCGGCAGCGCCAAACUCUAAAUGCACAGCGGACUGUACGUUCUGAUUUACAAUGAAAACAAGUUAAAACUUUCAACAACGGAUCUCUUGGUUCUG